ACCGAGCCGGGUCGCGGGGGCUCCUAGGGGGUUCCUUCCACAGCUGAUGCGCGUGCGCAAGAGUGCGUCGAGGUUGUUCCGCGGCAAUUUAUGAAACUCGGCGCCGGCAGUGAGUUGAGGGUUCGGCGAGGUCAGGGAUUCCUAGUUGCAGCGUGAUUACCAACGCCAGCUCCCUUCACUGUCCAAGACAGCGAUUCCGCGGCUCCUCUCAGAACUGGCGCUUUGUUCAUCAUUUACCAUUUAAGCUACUUGCAGUCACGUCACACCUUGGAUCUCUAUCAUCAAAACUAUUCCACCUCGGAAAUCUUACCUAAAUGCAGCAUGCCAUCCUGAACGUCUCUCCCUGUCCUAGCUCUGUAACUGUUUACAUUGCUCAGGUACCUGAAUAUUGGCUUUGUGUCUAAAGUUUCUGGAACUUUCCUCCUUACCGUGAAAUAACUUGGCUUAAAUCACACUGCAUAUAGUACACAGGUGCUUAGCUCAAGCCUGAGAAUUACUGCAAUCUAGUAAGGCGGAUUUGAACUACUGUGGGAGUUCUAUUUAGGAAGAUGCAGCCUCUGAGCAAGUUGAUGGCUAUCUCAAAACCUCGAAACCUGUCUGUACGUGAACAAAGAGAGGUUCUGAGAGCAGAUAUGUCUUGGCAGCAGGAAACCAUCCCCGUCGUGGAGACACAUGACUCUGAGGCAUCUCGUCAAAAGUUCAGACAUUUCCAGUAUUUGAAAAUGUCUGGGCCCCAUGAAGCCCUGAGCCAACUCUGGGAGCUCUGUCUUCAAUGGCUGAGACCAGAGAUUCAUACAAAGAAGCAGAUUAUAGAACUGUUGGUGCUGGAACAAUUCCUGGCAAUCCUGCCUGAAGAAGUCAGGACUUGGGUGAAUUUACAACAUCCAAACAACAGUGAAGAUAUGGUGACCCUCAUAGAAGAUGUGAUUGAAAUGCUUGAAGAUGAAGAUAUGCCCUGCAAGGACUCUGCCCCGCAGAUGGGGAGCAUCAAGGAGAAAAUGAAAGCUGGCUCACGAACAGGCAAACCACAGACAUGAAGAGUAUUUCUGGAGAAGAAUCAUCCCAUGGAGUGAUUAUGACAAGGCUUACCGAAAGUGGACACCCUUCUUCAGAUGCCUGGAAAGGUGAGAAUUGGUUAUAUAGGAACCAGAAAAAAUGGGACAUAAAUUUGCCACAAGAGGCUUUCAUUCCUGAGACAAUUUACACUGAGGAGGAAGAUUUUGAAUGUAGUGAAAAUAAGAAAAGCUUUGAUAUUAAUUCAAUUAGCUCAAUUUGUGCUAUACAACAGGGAAUUCCUUCAAGAAAGGGGUCUCCAAAAUGUGAUAAGUUUAAAACUCACUUCAAAUUUAAUUUAGACUCAGUAGGUAAGCAACAUUCAGAAUAUGAAUAUGGGAAUGACUUGAGUUUGAGUACAGAUAUUCGACACCAAAAAAGUCAUACUACAAUGAAUUC
rnacentral:sRNA from 1 species